rnacentral:rRNA from 1 species
CAGUCGCCACGGUAAUACAGAGGGUGCGAGCGUUAAUCGGAUUUACUGGGCGUAAAGCGUGCGUAGGCGGCUUUUUAAGUCGGAUGUGAAAUCCCUGAGCUUAACUUAGGAAUUGCAUUCGAUACUGGGAAGCUAGAGUAUGGGAGAGGAUGGUAGAAUUCCAGGUGUAGCGGUUAAAUGCGUAGAGAUCUGGAGGAAUACCGAUGGCGAAGGCAGCCAUCUGGCCUAAUACUGACGCUGAGGUACGAAAGCAUGGGGAGCAAACAGGAUUAGAUACCCCCGUAGUCCCUGUCUCUUAUAC